GUAGUAGUAGUAGUAGUAGUAGUAGUAGUAGUAGUAGUAGUAGUAGUUGUUGUUAUUUUAAAACUCAAUAUAAGGAAUAAUUUUUCUUUACGUAAUUACCAGAAACCUUACCAUUCUAUCUAGAGUGUUGGCAUUAGCAUCUCGUUUUAAUCUGUUAAAUCCAAGACGUCCUGGUGGUGGUGCUAGACGACGUCGACUAGCUGUUCCUGCUAAAACUGAUAGUAGCACUAUGAACAUCGCACACAAAAUAUUGAAUAUUUUCAUCUUGCAGAGGAUUUGCUCAUCUAAAUGACAUAUAAUAAUGUAGGAUAAGAUUUUCUUGCAUUGGAUUUUCGAAUAUAUAACCUAGCUUCAUCAUCAUAUACGAAAAACUUUGAACAUUAAAUAAUAGUUUGGAAAGCAAAAUGUGCUGUAUUUAAAAUUACAAUUUAACAUAUUUUUUUUUAAAAGUAAAAUCACAAAAUUACUAAACUCUUGGGCAAAAUCAAAACGGAAUGUCCCUUAGCAAAUGAUUCUGUUCUCAACCAGAAACUAAAUAACAUUUUUGGAAUUUACUGUUUUUAGUGUAGAAAUUUGUUUUAAUAUGCUAAAUUCAAGUCGUGCUCGAGGUGGCAUUCCACUAGCUGUUCCUGCUAAAACUGAUAUUAGCACCAUGAACAUGGCACACAGAAUCUUGCCUAUUUUCAUCAUGUAGAGGAUUUGCUCACCUAGAUGACAUAUAAUAAUGUAGGAUAAGAUUUUCCUGCGUAAGAAUUUCCGAAUAUAUUCUGUAGGAAAAUUAUAUAAAAAAAACGCAUUCUGAUAGAACUUUAUUAAUA
rnacentral:lncRNA from 1 species